GAUGAACGCUGGCGGCGUGCCUAAUACAUGCAAGUCGAGCGAACAGACGAGGAGCUUGCUCCUCUGACGUUAGCGGCGGACGGGUGAGUAACACGUGGAUAACCUACCUAUAAGACUGGGAUAACUUCGGGAAACCGGAGCUAAUACCGGAUAAUAUAUUGAACCGCAUGGUUCAAUAGUGAAAGACGGUUUUGCUGUCACUUAUAGAUGGAUCCGCGCCGCAUUAGCUAGUUGGUAAGGUAACGGCUUACCAAGGCGACGAUGCGUAGCCGACCUGAGAGGGUGAUAGGCCACACUGGAACUGAGACACGGUCCAGACUCCUACGGGAGGCAGCAGUAGGGAAUCUUCCGCAAUGGGCGAAAGCCUGACGGAGCAACGCCGCGUGAGUGAUGAAGGUCUUCGGAUCGUAAAACUCUGUUAUUAGGGAAGAACAAAUGUGUAAGUAACUAUGCACGUAUUGACGGUACCUAAUCAGAAAGCCACGGCUAACUACGUG
rnacentral:rRNA from 1 species